GAUGAACGCUGGCGGCGUGCCUAACACAUGCAAGUCGAGCGAUUCUCUUCGGAGAAGAGCGGCGGACGGGUGAGUAACGCGUGGGUAACCUGCCCCGUACACACGGAUAACAUACCGAAAGGUAUGCUAAUACGAGAUAAUAUACUUUUAUCGCAUGGUAGAAGUAUCAAAGCUCCGGCGGUACAGGAUGGACCCGCGUCUGAUUAGCUAGUUGGUAAGGUAACGGCUUACCAAGGCGACGAUCAGUAGCCGACCUGAGAGGGUGAUCGGCCACAUUGGAACUGAGACACGGUCCAAACUCCUACGGGAGGCAGCAGUGGGGAAUAUUGCACAAUGGGCGAAAGCCUGAUGCAGCAACGCCGCGUGAGCGAUGAAGGCCUCGGUCGUAAAGCUCUGU
rnacentral:rRNA from 1 species